rnacentral:rRNA from 1 species
UACGAAGGGGACUAGCGUUGUUCGGAUUUACUGGGCGUAAAGCGCGCGUAGGCGGAUCACUAAGUCAGGGGUGAAAUCCCGAGGCUUAACCUCGGAACUGCCUUUGAUACUGGAGAUCUGGAGAUCGGGAGAGGUUGGUGGAAUUCCGCGUGUAGCAGUGAAAUGCGUAGAUAUGCGGAGGAACACCGAUGGCGAAGGCAAUCCCCCUGGGCCUGCACUGACGCUCAUGCACGAAAGCGUGGGGAGCAAACAGG